rnacentral:rRNA from 1 species
CUGUGUGUUACAAGUGUCACACAGGACCGCGGUCUUAAGCCGAGGAAGUGGGGAUGACGUCAAGUCAGCAUGGCCUUUAUGUCCAGGGCUACACACACGCUACAAUGGUCAGCACAAUAGGUAGCCAAGCCGCGAGGUGGAGCCAAUCCUCAAAGCUGGCCUCAGUUCAGAUCGCAGGCUGCAACCCGCCUGCGUGAAGCCGGAGUUGCUAGUAACCGCAGGUCAGCUAUACUGCGGUGAAUACGUUCCCGGGGCUU